UAAUACAUGCAAGUCGAGCGGACAGAAGGGAGCUUGCUCCCGGAUGUUAGCGGCGGACGGGUGAGUAACACGUGGGUAACCUGCCUGUAAGACUGGGAUAACUCCGGGAAACCGGAGCUAAUACCGGAUAGUUCCUUGAACCGCAUGGUUCAAGGAUGAAAGACGGUUUCGGCUGUCACUUACAGAUGGACCCGCGGCGCAUUAGCUAGUUGGUGGGGUAAUGGCUCACCAAGGCGACGAUGCGUAGCCGACCUGAGAGGGUGAUCGGCCACACUGGGACUGAGACACGGCCCAGACUCCUACGGGAGGCAGCAGUAGGGAAUCUUCCGCAAUGGACGAAAGUCUGACGGAGCAACGCCGCGUGAGUGAUGAAGGUUUUCGGAUCGUAAAGCUCUGUUGUUAGGGAAGAACAAGUGCGAGAGUAACUGCUCGCACCUUGACGGUACCUAACCAGAAAGCCACGGCUAACUACGUGCCAGCAGCCGCGGUAAUACGUAGGUGGCAAGCGUUGUCCGGAAUUAUUGGGCGUAAAGGGCUCGCAGGCGGUUUCUUAAGUCUGAUGUGAAAGCCCCCGGCUCAACCGGGGAGGGUCAUUGGAAACUGGGAAACUUGAGUGCAGAAGAGGAGAGUGGAAUUCCACGUGUAGCGGUGAAAUGCGUAGAGAUGUGGAGGAACACCAGUGGCGAAGGCGACUCUCUGGUCUGUAACUGACGCUGAGGAGCGAAAGCGUGGGGAGCGAACAGGAUUAGAUACCCUGGUAGUCCACGCCGUAAACGAUGAGUGCUAAGUGUUAGGGGGUUUCCGCCCCUUAGUGCUGCAGCUAACGCAUUAAGCACUCCGCCUGGGGAGUACGGUCGCA
rnacentral:rRNA from 1 species